AGAGUUUGAUCCUGGCUCAGGAUGAACGCUGGCGGCGUGCCUAAUACAUGCAAGUCGAGCGAACAGACGAGGAGCUUGCUCCUCUGACGUUAGCGGCGGACGGGUGAGUAACACGUGGAUAACCUACCUAUAAGACUGGGAUAACUUCGGGAAACCGGAGCUAAUACCGGAUAAUAUAUUGAACCGCGUGGUUCAAUAGUGAAAGACGGUUUUGCUGUCACUUAUAGAUGGAUCCGCGCCGCAUUAGCUAGUUGGUAAGGUAACGGCUUACCAAGGCAACGAUGCGUAGCCGACCUGAGAGGGUGAUCGGCCACACUGGAACUGAGACACGGUCCAGACUCCUACGGGAGGCAGCAGUAGGGAAUCUUCCGCAAUGGGCGAAAGCCUGACGGAGCAACGCCGCGUGAGUGAUGAAGGUCUUCGGAUCGUAAAACUCUGUUAUUAGGGAAGAACAAAUGUGUAAGUAACUAUGCACGUCUUGACGGUACCUAAUCAGAAAGCCACGGCUAACUACGUGCCAGCAGCCGCGGUAAUAC
rnacentral:rRNA from 1 species